ACAGUCUUUAUAAGAGUGUUAUCAAGUAGAGGAAGACAAGCAAUGGAUCAGAGAAUGGAUUCUGAGAAACUUGAACAGCUGAAUGCACAGUUGAAGAGAGAAGGGAACAUUGAGAGAGGCCCAGUAUCAGCCAGUGCCAAUGCG